AUACGUAGGGGGCGAGCGUUGUCCGGAAUGACUGGGCGUAAAGGGCGUGUAGGCGGCGGUGUAAGUCUGGAGUGAAAGUCCCGCAUUCAAUGUGGGAAUUGCUUUGGAUACUGCAGUGCUAGAGUGCGGAAGAGGUAAGUGGAAUUCCUAGUGUAGCGGUGAAAUGCGUAGAUAUUAGGAGGAACACCGGUGGCGAAGGCGGCUUACUGGACUGUAACUGACGUUGAGGCUCGAAAGCGUGGGGAGCAAACAGGAUUAGAUACCCUGGUAGUCCACGCUGUAAACGAUGAUGACUAGGUGUGGGGGGACUGACCCCCUCCGUGCCGGAGUAAACACAAUAAGUAUUCCACCUGGGGAGUACGACCGCAAGGUUGAAACUCAAAGGAAUUGACGGGG
rnacentral:rRNA from 1 species